rnacentral:lncRNA from 1 species
CUACCCAUACGAGCCGAAGGCCCAAGGGCAAUAUCUACACGCCUAACAGCCACGGAGAACAGGAAGCACCGCACUAUCAGUCUAGACAAGCGCCCAAAGGGGAUAACUGAAUUGCGGUGAGCCCACAUACGUUCCAACAUAUUCGCCAGACGUACCGGCUCCCAUUUCAUGGCCUCCAACAUGCUCUGUUGAUUAUUGAAUCCCUCUUCAGCACGAAUAUCAUAAUAGGCUGGGCAUUCCAAUAACACGUGUUUUUUGGGCGGGGCCCCAGCGCGAAGCGCCCAGGGGCCCCCGCCCUGUAGGAUUGCACAUGUCCGUGUGGCCGUGUGUACAGGGUGUUUCCACUUGGCCGCACUCGAACAUUAAGUUCAAAAAUUCAUCUGUUACAGAAUGCGCACAUUCUUCCUAUACAAAAAGCUCAACCUCAGUUGACAAAGUUUUCCACUUGGUAACCACCAAAUAUCAAAUUGCAAAUCUUGGAUUAGUCUAGGAUCGAUCCAUUGCAAAUAGAUCAUAUGCGCUGGNNNNNNNNNNNNNNNNNNNNNNNNNNNNNNNNNNNNNNNNNNNNNNNNNNCCUCCGGCUCCUUGUAUCCGAGCGCCGCGUCCAGCCAGGGCGCGUCCAUCGCAGGCCGCGCCCAUCUCGUUGAGUCCGUCUGCAGAGCACUUCCAUGACCGCCAGCCCAGCGCCUAUGAUCUAUCUGCAAUGGAACGAUUUUAGACUAUUCGUUCUGGGGCUCCUGGAGGCCCAUAGAACACGGACCGGCGCAUUAUGCGCGCCCUUCUAGUCGACCACGCAAUGCCUUCCAUGUGCUGUAUUCCACAACAAUCCUAUGCGUUUCGGUGCUUUUGGACGGGUACGAAGCGAAAAGUCCUGUCAUCAACAUCGGCAAGGUCGUGAAGCGCGCGCGUGAAGCCCUUCGCUAAUACUGGAUUCACAUGCUACGUUACGUUGCGAAAACUUUUAGGUAAAAGUGGCCCUGAGAAAGUCACCCAGUUCACACGGGACAUUACGACGACGUUGUAUUCGUUGGCGCGAGCUGUGUAAAACCAUCUCCAUUUUAUGUCUUUCAAUGGCCAAAACUUCAGAACAUCCCCUUAGAAUUGCAAUAUAUAUUAAAGGCAGGGUAAGUGGUUAUGGGCCCCCGCCUGCUACUUCCGUAUUAUUUUUUAAUAGUUUGCUUUAUAGCCAGUUCACAUGCUACGUUACGUUGAAACUUUUUGGAAAAAGUGGUCGGUUCGGACGUGGUAACGGUACGUUACCGGUAAAGUGGACGAAAAGUCUAAAGUGACCAGGGGGGGGGGGUUCAAUUUCGUCAAACGCUGACCCCUCGUACCGUUACUUGAAAUGCGUCGCCAAUUUCGCGAGUUAUAACAAACGGCCAAGCCCAAUCGCUUAUAAAGACCACAUACUUGACAAAUUGUGCGCGCUUUGCACUCCGACUGAAUUUCUAGUCACACCGCUGCCUUAUAUUAUAAAAAUGAACAAGGACAACGCCGCUCGUGUUGCUCGCCCGCGCACGACCCCUUACAUAGCCAAUAUGUAACCCAUUGUAGUAUCAGGGCUGAAGCCAUCCGCGAAAUGGCAAGUCGGCCGCACUUCCGGCGGCAUGGGCCGCGCCGCGUCGGCCCACACGCGCAAGCACUGCCAUUGAGAAUUGAACAUAUCCUCAAGGUUGUCAAAAAU